rnacentral:rRNA from 1 species
GACGAACGCUGGCGGCGUGCCUAAUACAUGCAAGUCGAGCGCAGGAAACUGACGGAACUCUUCGGAGGGAAGGCAGUGGAAUGAGCGGCGGACGGGUGAGUAACACGUAAGGAACCUGCCUCAAGGAUUGGGAUAACUCCGAGAAAUCGGAGCUAAUACCGGAUAGUUCAACGGACCGCAUGGUCCGCUGAUGAAAGGCGCUCCGGCGUCACCUUGAGAUGGCCUUGCGGUGCAUUAGCUAGUUGGUGGGGUAACGGCCCACCAAGGCGACGAUGCAUAGCCGACCUGAGAGGGUGAUCGGCCACACUGGGACUGAGACACGGCCCAGACUCCUACGGGAGGCAGCAGUAGGGAAUCUUCCACAAUGGACGAAAGUCUGAUGGAGCAACGCCGCGUGAGUGAUGAAGGUUUUCGGAUCGUAAAACUCUGUUGUAAGGGAAGAACACGUACGAGAGGAAAUGCUCGUACCUUGACGGUACCUUACGAGAAAGCCACGGCUAACUACGUGCCAGCAGCCGCGGUAAGAC